CCUGCCCUGGACUCUGGGAUAAGCGCUGGAAACGGCGUCUAAUACUGGAUAUGAGCCUCUAUCGCAUGGUGGGGGUUGGAAAGAUUUUUUGGUCUGGGAUGGGCUCGCGGCCUAUCAGCUUGUUGGUGAGGUAAUGGCUCACCAAGGCGUCGACGGGUAGCCGGCCUGAGAGGGUGACCGGCCACACUGGGACUGAGACACGGCCCAGACUCCUACGGGAGGCAGCAGUGGGGAAUAUUGCACAAUGGGCGGAAGCCUGAUGCAGCAACGCCGCGUGAGGGAUGACGGCCUUCGGGUUGUAAACCUCUUUUAGCAGGGAAGAAGCGAGAGUGACGGUACCUGCAGAAAAAGCGCCGGCUAACUACGUGCCAGCAGCCGCGGUAAUACGUAGGGCGCAAGCGUUAUCCGGAAUUAUUGGGCGUAAAGAGCUCGUAGGCGGUUUGUCGCGUCUGCUGUGAAAUCCCGAGGCUCAACCUCGGGCCUGCAGUGGGUACGGGCAGACUAGAGUGCGGUAGGGGGAGAUUGGAAUUCCUGGUGUAGCGGUGGAAUGCGCAGAUAUCAGGAGGAACACCGAUGGCGAAGGCAGAUCUCUGGGCCGUAACUGACGCUGAGGAGCGAAAGGGUGGGGAGCAAACAGGCUUAGAUACCCUGGUAGUCCACCCCG
rnacentral:rRNA from 1 species